UACGUAGGUGGCAAGCGAUACUCGGAAUCACUAGGCGUAAAGCGCAGGUAGGAGGUUUAGUAAGUCUGUUGUGAAAGCUCCCGGCUUAACUGGGAGAGGUCAACGGAAACUGCUAGGCUAGAGUGCGGUAGAGGUAGCUGGAAUUCCCGGUGUAGCGGUGAAAUGCGUAGAUAUCGGGAGGAAUACCUAUGGCGAAAGCAGGCUACUGGACCGUCACUGACUCUGAUCUGCGAAAGCUAGGGGAGCAAACAGGAUUAGAUACCCUGGUAGUCCUAGCCCUAAACGAUGCUCAUUAGGUGUGGGAGGUAUCGACCCCUUCCGCGCCGUAGCUAACGCAUUAAAUGAGCCGCCUGGGGAGUACGGCCGCAAGGUUGAA
rnacentral:rRNA from 1 species